UCCUGCUUCAGAUUCUGUGUCUUCCUCUCUCUGCCCCUCCCCCGCUCAUGCUCUCUCUCUCUCUCUCUCUCUCUUUCUCUAAGAAUAAAUAAACAUUUUUUAAAAAUUAAAAAAUACAUAUAAUAUUCACUGAUUAGCCCAGUAAAACGGGGCAAAAAGUAAGAUUGUUUACAUGAUCGUCACCUGAUUUUAUGUGUUUGUUUUUUAGGGCCAGCAGGAUGUCCUAAACGUAGCUUGUGCGAAAAUACAACAGCUUUUAGUUUUCAGAAGUGUUUUGUGUGAGUACCUUCAGAUCUCAGUCUCAGUCUUACUGAGAUUCGUAGCAACUGGUCCACGUGCAAGCCCAUUUUCCAGAUCGUAUUAAGAGUCAGUAGAGACGGGGUGAGAUCAACGUGCUGUCCAGAGAACUAGGGGCUCUGGGAUUAUGGAAAUUUCCGGAGGAAUGAGCUCCUUAACGUCCUUCCUAGUUUAAGGAAGUUCUUGGUUUCCAGUUGCUCGCUGAGGAUCUUCAUAGCGGAUCUUCAUCUUGCUAGACGUACGGGGUUUACACUAGUUGGCUUUUAAUUUUAUAAUUAAGGAGGGAAGUUUAAAUGCCUCCCCAGAUGAGGCAUGUUAAGUAACUUUCUAGAACUGCAGUAAAAAUACCAGCGAUUUGCAGAGAGUUGCAGUGUGGGAGGCGGCAGGAAGCAGAUGGGAUCCCUGCCAGGACUCAUGGGUGUGCGGCCCUCCGGAGCACAUGUCAGGAUGACUAAUACUUGGGUUGCCCUGACUGUACGGCUAAAUAAAGGCUUGAUCGUACAUUCUCGGCUCCGAGUGAGACUCGACCACUCUGUCAUGCGGAGACUAUGCCGAACAGCUCAGUUAUGUUCAAAUAAGGCUGUUCGGAGGACUGUCAUGUAAGGAAUCAGCUGUAAACCAAGGGUAUUUAUAGAAGGAAAGAAAAUUUCACUGCGCUUAACGAAUUUGCCGAAACCCAGCUAAAAAGAAAGGAUAUGCUUGCUCCUGUUUGAACCGGCUGUGUGCUUUGGGACGAUUUGCUGUGUGGCACCAGACCUCCAUCUUCUUAUUGCUGAAAUAUUUGGGGGCAGGUCACAUGUGUCCGGCAUUUUAUACAGCACUACAAUUCUGUGGUCUGUGAGUAUAGGGUGGAUUUCAAAUUACACGCUCACCAUUUUCAGAAUGCUCGGCUCAGAUCUAGAAAACGUCCUCUUGUGCUACAGUAGAAACUAUUGUUGAGAAAAUUGCCCUGCCUUAGAAUGGAAAACGGAACGUUCUCAAAUUGCCCUUUGCCCCUUUAAUUAUAGUUAAGUUAUUCAGGCAUUUGGUGCUUUAUGGCAUACCAUUUAUUUAUUAAAAAAAAAAAAAAAAAAAAAAAACAACCUCUUUGAAAAGCGCCAUUGUAACCAUGGCCGACCCAAUGUGUCAACUCCUCCCAAGGCACCAAUCCUGUUCUGGGCAUCCCAGCUGACCUGGGCGCUCGAGGGGCAGUGGGAGUGAUUGGAGUCAAGUUGUUUAUCUUCAUAUUUUAAUUGCCGUGGAGAAAGAUCAUCGCUUUUCUGUGUAGCUCCUUUCUUAGGAUUUAACUUCAUGCUCCUCUGAGCUAUUUUUUUUUUUUUCCACCACAGUCCUUCUCAAACUGAAUUACUCCCCUGCCCAAGUCGGAUGAUGACAAAGAUGAUUACUACUUGUCACCCUUUACGGGGGAGUCGGGUAGGAAGUAUGUUCCCUCUCUGUGUCUGUCUCUCUGUGCGUGUGUAUCUCUUAUAUUUCCCAGAGCUCGCCACACAAUGGUGUCAUCCCCGUUUCACAGCUGGAGAUACUGAGGCUACGCGAGGUUAAAGGUCCUUUCCCAAGAGGCUCCACCAGAACACAGCAGGCCAAGCAUUCAGUCACGUCCUCUCAAAUGCCAAAGACCAAGGUUUCCAUCACCCCCCAGCCCUGCUUUCUAUCUGGUCCAAGCUCUCACGAGAGCUUUCUGCUUGUUCUAUAGGAUGCACUUUAAGAUGAAGUUACAUUUAUGAGACGGAGACAGAACUUUCUUACAAUUCAGAGGCACUAAAGCUAUAAACUGUGCUGUAAUCCUGAGCAAACAAAAGUAACCAUUUUGAAUUGCUUUCAAGAUAUGAGACAGAUGGCAUGUAUUUAUUUUUAAUGUUUAAGAAGAUAGAGAAAGCAAUUGGGGAUGUGACAUCCUGCAUUAAUUGGCAAGCAUCACCUAAUGUACAUAGUUAAAGACACAAAGAGAGGAAAAUUAGGUCCAUGCAUCACACAAAUGAGGCAAUACAACAAAGUGUAUUUAACUAGGUUUAUUUUAUAACAUGGUCUCUCUGUUUCACUCUAAGUAAUUUUAAUGAGGAUUCUCUAAACGUCUGUGACUAAAAUGAGUCUAAGAGGAAGAGUCUGGGUACCACAUGUCCUUAUGGGAGCCAUGCUGGGCUGAGCGGUCACCGCAGAAUUUUCAAUAAAAGCAGAUUUAACAAGAAUGUCCACUGUCGCUGUCAGUUCCUCCAAACUUCGGUUUUCAGGCCUUGCACUGACUUCCCUUUACAUAAUCCGUACCAAAAAAAAAAAAAAAAAAAACCACACACACACACACACACACACACACACAACCCCAAAGAUAUCAUAUGAUCUGGAAGAGUUCCUUAAAUUAAGAGCCCCCAAUUCAAAGCUGCCAUAAACAAUUAUUAACUUUCUAAAAGGCUCAGCGACUUAGAUAAUGGGUAAGUGUUCCCCAUGCUGCAGAUCAGCACUUUCUGGAGCUCUGUGCAGGGCUGGACGCCCCAGCACGUUUAGGGGUAAUUUCCCUGUACCGACUAAGCAUAGUUCUGUGCUCAUCCAUUUCUUGAGUUUCACAUUACCACACUUCGUUUGGGUUGGGCGAGAUUUCCUUCCAGACGUGCAAUCUACGGGAUGGCGUGUGCUGGCUUUUCCAGUGAACUCUCUGUGGAAGCAGGCAGCGUUGUUGGGGGUGGCUUUUCCGCUUGUGCGGGUGAGGAGAUGGAAAGUGAAACAGCCCUGAAGGGAUUGCUUCCUUUCUCCGCUUUGAGAUGGGAAUGUAAAACGCUCUUUACUAUCGCCCCCGUCCUGACUCGUACCGUUCACCAUCCUCCCCCAAACAGCUCAUUUCUGCACAGCUCCAAAGCUGGAGCGAGCCGGCUCUCCAUGAGACAUAUUCUAUGUGCCUAUAUGUUAACUAUACAAAUGCAACUCCUUAUGGUAAAACUGUUUUGGGGGGGGAAUUCUGGUCUAUACAUCGUUUAGUUAAGGUAAUUGAAAGAGAACGUUCCCGUUCACUCCAGAUUUAAAAUACCCUGAACCACGCAUGGCCUUCCUGUGUUAAUAACCUAUCUGGCAUCAUGCUCCAGGUGGGGACGGGCAGCUGGAGGUACCGCAGGACUGCUGGGCAACAGGCCACUGAACAUCCAGCUUUUCCGGAGUUGCUCCUGCAACAUCCUCGAGCCCCAGAUGAUCUACAUAAGGGAGCAGUGAGAGUGGUGAGGGGCUCUUCACCGAGUGGAACAGCAGCAGGCUGUGCUUGUGCUUCUCUCAUCAUGGGCUGCAGCAGUCAGACCUUGAGUAUGUCAGGAGCGGUUGGCGGGGGGGGGACAGGAACCACUUCCAGGCCCACUGUGACCAGGAAAGUUUAGGGGGUUUGAGAGAGGAAGGCAACCAGCAGCUUCUGGUUCCCCGGGAAUCAAUCACACCCCUCCCACGGACUUUCCUGUGCUUAGAUAAUCAGUAGUCUUGCCUUUUAAGGACCUAUGUAUUCCAGUGACAGCUGGAGGGCACCUGCCAGUCAGGCACCUGCACAGGAAUGUGGGAAAGCUGUUGUCCAAAUGCCCCAGAGCCCUUUCUUCAAGCUGUGAGUUUCCUUGGAAGCUUUUAACAGUGACCCAAGCUAGGAGUCACUGUUUUUUAAGGGAAUUCCAGCAGUUGUGUUUACUCUCCUAUGUUCUGGGGACUCCGUGGUGAGCCUUCCAACACAGAACUUUACAAAUAACAAGAUUCAUUAGUUCCCAGCUUUUUGUGAUGCUUUCUUAAACCCUUUAAACUUUGUUUUUCUCAUCCCCAAAAUGGGAAUCAUGGAAAUCCUCUUGGGAUUGUUGACGGACGUUGACGGAUGUUGGGGAACCCAGCGCGUGGUCUGGGACAUGGCAUUAUCAUUGUGUGCGUUUUCCAGGGACUCCAGUGAAGGACAGGCUUGGGCUUUAUGGGUUGUUUUUAUGAUCGAUAACAUAGCUUCCUCUUGGAAGGCUCGCCGUGCUACUGAAAUCUUCAAGUCAAACACUUUCCUGGUAGAAGCCGUGAACGUGCUGACCCACGGCAGAAUGGAAGUGACCAACAGCUUCAGUGAGCUGUUCAGUGAGCUGUUCACAGUGUUUUGAACAAACGACCAGGAACCAAGAAGUCCCAAACGUUACCGCCGUUUACAGGAGCGGCUAUAAAUCCCAAGUCUCGUCCGGUUGUUCUGAAUCAGAUGGGCUGUGCUGCAGUUACCAUUACACGGAUGUCUCAUCAAAGUCCAGUGGAAUCAUUGCGUUAUUCAACUUAUUACCUUUGUCCUUGAUUCCAUGGAUUGGGUGCGUGGAAAACCUCAUCCGUCACCAGGUAUCAGCCUCCAUGCUAGAACCUUCUUUAAUCUGGCACAUGCUCUAUCCAAUUAAAAUUCCUAUGCUUACAUUCAGACACACA